CCUGGUAGUUAUGGAGAAGGGGAAAUACCUGUUCCCAUCCCGAACACAGAAGUCAAGCCCUUCAUCGCCAAUGGUACUAUGCGGUUCGCUGCAUGGGAGAGUAGGACGCCGCCAGGC
rnacentral:rRNA from 1 species